rnacentral:rRNA from 1 species
AAGGCCUACCAAGGCGACGAUCUGUAGCGGGUCUGAGAGGAUGAUCCGCCACACUGGGACUGAGACACGGCCCAGACUCCUACGGGAGGCAGCAGUGGGGAAUAUUGGACAAUGGGGGGAACCCUGAUCCAGCCAUGCCGCGUGUGUGAAGAAGGCCUUUUGGUUGUAAAGCACUUUAAGCGAGGAGGAGGCUCCCAGUAUUAAUACUACUGGAGAGUGGACGUUACUCGCAGAAUAAGCACCGGCUAACUCUGUGCCAGCAGCCGCGGUAAUACAGAGGGUGCAAGCGUUAAUCGGAUUUACUGGGCGUAAAGCGUGCGUAGGUGGCCAAUUAAGUCAAAUGUGAAAUCCCCGAGCUUAACUUGGGAAUUGCAUUCGAUACUGGUUGGCUAGAGUAUGGGAGAGGAUGGUAGAAUUCCAGGUGUAGCGGUGAAAUGCGUAGAGAUCUGGAGGAAUACCGAUGGCGAAGGCAGCCAUCUGGCCUAAUACUGACACUGAGGUACGAAAGCAUGGGGAGCAAACAGGAUUAGAUACCCUGGUAGUCCAUGCCGUAAACGAUGUCUACUAGCCGUUGGGGUCUUUGAGACUUUAGUGGCGCAGCUAACGCGAUAAGUAGA